UUAAGCGACUAAGCGUACACGGUGGAUGCCCUGGCAGUCAGAGGCGAUGAAGGACGUGCUAAUCUGCGAUAAGCGUCGGUAAGGUGAUAUGAACCGUUAUAACCGGCGAUUUCCGAAUGGGGAAACCCAGUGUGAUUCGUCACACUAUCAUUAACUGAAUCCAUAGGUUAAUGAGGCGAACCGGGGGAACUGAAACAUCUAAGUACCCCGAGGAAAAGAAAUCAACCGAGAUUCCCCCAGUAGCGGCGAGCGAACGGGGAGCAGCCCAGAGCCUGAAUCAGUGUGUGUGUUAGUGGAAGCGUCUGGAAAGGCGUGCGAUACAGGGUGACAGCCCCGUACACAAAAAUGCACAUACUGUGAGCUCGAUGAGUAGGGCGGGACACGUGGUAUCCUGUCUGAAUAUGGGGGGACCAUCCUCCAAGGCUAAAUACUCCUGACUGACCGAUAGUGAACCAGUACCGUGAGGGAAAGGCGAAAAGAACCCCGGCGAGGGGAGUGAAAAAGAACCUGAAACCGUGUACGUACAAGCAGUGGGAGCACGCUUAGGCGUGUGACUGCGUACCUUUUGUAUAAUGGGUCAGCGACUUAUAUUCUGUAGCAAGGUUAACCGAAUAGGGGAGCCGAAGGGAAACCGAGUCUUAACUGGGCGUUAAGUUGCAGGGUAUAGACCCGAAACCCGGUGAUCUAGCCAUGGGCAGGUUGAAGGUUGGGUAACACUAACUGGAGGACCGAACCGACUAAUGUUGAAAAAUUAGCGGAUGACUUGUGGCUGGGGGUGAAAGGCCAAUCAAACCGGGAGAUAGCUGGUUCUCCCCGAAAGCUAUUUAGGUAGCGCCUCGUGAAUUCAUCUCCGGGGGUAGAGCACUGUUUCGGCAAGGGGGUCAUCCCGACUUACCAACCCGAUGCAAACUGCGAAUACCGGAGAAUGUUAUCACGGGAGACACACGGCGGGUGCUAACGUCCGUCGUGAAGAGGGAAACAACCCAGACCGCCAGCUAAGGUCCCAAAGUCAUGGUUAAGUGGGAAACGAUGUGGGAAGGCCCAGACAGCCAGGAUGUUGGCUUAGAAGCAGCCAUCAUUUAAAGAAAGCGUAAUAGCUCACUGGUCGAGUCGGCCUGCGCGGAAGAUGUAACGGGGCUAAACCAUGCACCGAAGCUGCGGCAGCGACGCUUAUGCGUUGUUGGGUAGGGGAGCGUUCUGUAAGCCUGCGAAGGUGUGCUGUGAGGCAUGCUGGAGGUAUCAGAAGUGCGAAUGCUGACAUAAGUAACGAUAAAGCGGGUGAAAAGCCCGCUCGCCGGAAGACCAAGGGUUCCUGUCCAACGUUAAUCGGGGCAGGGUGAGUCGACCCCUAAGGCGAGGCCGAAAGGCGUAGUCGAUGGGAAACAGGUUAAUAUUCCUGUACUUGGUGUUACUGCGAAGGGGGGACGGAGAAGGCUAUGUUGGCCGGGCGACGGUUGUCCCGGUUUAAGCGUGUAGGCUGGUUUUCCAGGCAAAUCCGGAAAAUCAAGGCUGAGGCGUGAUGACGAGGCACUACGGUGCUGAAGCAACAAAUGCCCUGCUUCCAGGAAAAGCCUCUAAGCAUCAGGUAACAUCAAAUCGUACCCCAAACCGACACAGGUGGUCAGGUAGAGAAUACCAAGGCGCUUGAGAGAACUCGGGUGAAGGAACUAGGCAAAAUGGUGCCGUAACUUCGGGAGAAGGCACGCUGAUAUGUAGGUGAAGUCCCUCGCGGAUGGAGCUGAAAUCAGUCGAAGAUACCAGCUGGCUGCAACUGUUUAUUAAAAACACAGCACUGUGCAAACACGAAAGUGGACGUAUACGGUGUGACGCCUGCCCGGUGCCGGAAGGUUAAUUGAUGGGGUCAGCGCAAGCGAAGCUCUUGAUCGAAGCCCCGGUAAACGGCGGCCGUAACUAUAACGGUCCUAAGGUAGCGAAAUUCCUUGUCGGGUAAGUUCCGACCUGCACGAAUGGCGUAAUGAUGGCCAGGCUGUCUCCACCCGAGACUCAGUGAAAUUGAACUCGCUGUGAAGAUGCAGUGUACCCGCGGCAAGACGGAAAGACCCCGUGAACCUUUACUAUAGCUUGACACUGAACAUUGAGCCUUGAUGUGUAGGAUAGGUGGGAGGCUUUGAAGUGUGGACGCCAGUCUGCAUGGAGCCGACCUUGAAAUACCACCCUUUAAUGUUUGAUGUUCUAACGUUGACCCGUAAUCCGGGUUGCGGACAGUGUCUGGUGGGUAGUUUGACUGGGGCGGUCUCCUCCUAAAGAGUAACGGAGGAGCACGAAGGUUGGCUAAUCCUGGUCGGACAUCAGGAGGUUAGUGCAAUGGCAUAAGCCAGCUUGACUGCGAGCGUGACGGCGCGAGCAGGUGCGAAAGCAGGUCAUAGUGAUCCGGUGGUUCUGAAUGGAAGGGCCAUCGCUCAACGGAUAAAAGGUACUCCGGGGAUAACAGGCUGAUACCGCCCAAGAGUUCAUAUCGACGGCGGUGUUUGGCACCUCGAUGUCGGCUCAUCACAUCCUGGGGCUGAAGUAGGUCCCAAGGGUAUGGCUGUUCGCCAUUUAAAGUGGUACGCGAGCUGGGUUUAGAACGUCGUGAGACAGUUCGGUCCCUAUCUGCCGUGGGCGCUGGAGAACUGAGGGGGGCUGCUCCUAGUACGAGAGGACCGGAGUGGACGCAUCACUGGUGUUCGGGUUGUCAUGCCAAUGGCACUGCCCGGUAGCUAAAUGCGGAAGAGAUAAGUGCUGAAAGCAUCUAAGCACGAAACUUGCCCCGAGAUGAGUUCUCCCUGACUCCUUGAGAGUCCUGAAGGAACGUUGAAGACGACGACGUUGAUAGGCCGGAUGUGUAAGCGCAGCGAUGCGUUGAGCUAACCGGUACUAAUGAACCGUGAGGCUUAACCU
rnacentral:rRNA from 1 species